rnacentral:lncRNA from 1 species
CUGGGGUGCCGAGAGGAAGUGCAGGUGCCUUGACGUGACGGGGAGGGACUCGCCCCCCGUGCCUGUGUUUACAGACUGCUGGUUUCCCCGGGCUCUGACCUGCCUCGUCCAGAAAGCCCAGCAAGAGCGUUGAACUCCUGCUUUCUGCAGGUUCUGCUGGGAGCGGCUCCUCUGGGGUGUGAAGCGGGCAGAGGAGGAUGAGGAGGGAGCCGUGAGCAGAGCCUAGGAGGAGCCUUCCGGGGGCUUCCAGAAGCUGGGGACGGCUGAGACCUGGGUUUGAGGAAGAGCCAGAAGGGAGAAACAUGGAAAACAACCACGGCCAACCGAGUGGGUGCAGCCCGCACGCAGGUGCCCCCCCAUAACCGAUGCACUGCGUUGACUCCAGAGGCAGACGUCCUCACCCAGAGCUCUCCCGGGGGAGCAGCCGUGGCCCGUCCACGCGCACAAACCAGGAGCCCUCGGCGCCCUGCCCCUGCCCCUGCCUGCCUCCAGCAGCUCGGUCACCUCCUGGACGGGUUCAGAUCCAGCACGCUCUCCACCCUGUUUGCCACACCCGAGGCUGAGCCCCCCCACCUCCAGCUUGGUCUCCUGGUCCCACCGUCAGCACUCUUCUUCCUGAAACACGUGCCUGAUGGUGUCGGCUCCCAGCGCCUCCCCUCGGGAUAAACCCCCAGAUCCUCCACAGACUUAUAACACAUCAUCCAAACCCAGACUUGACUCUUAAAUGUUAAAGGAGGAGCCGUUAAUGAUGUUGGGAUAACAGGUGUAACUGGGUCGCCCUCAGCCACUCGGGACAUGUGGUCCCCCUUCUGCUUGGCUCUGUGUAAGGCUUGGGGGACUGGCCACUGCCCACCUCUCCAGCCCCACUGCACAUCCUGCCCCACCCUGUUUUCUGAGCUCUUCUCUUCCUGCACGCUUUAGGUUCCUUCCUACCCCAGGGCCUUUGCCCAUGCUGUUCCCUAUGUCUGAAGUGCUCUUCCUCCCUCUUCCCGUCCUCUCUUCCUAGUUAAUGCCUGUCCAUCCUGAUGAAUAAAUGAAAAGCAAUAAGAUAUUGAAGUAUGAGGAAGCCAUUUGGUUUACAACUAAUUCUGCCCAAGCUUGUU